AGUGAACGCCGGCGGUAGGCCUAACACAUGCAAGUCGAGCGAAAGCACAGUAAGCGCUUGCUCUUACGGGUGGCGGGUGACGGACGGGUGAGGCAUACAUCGGAUUCUACUUUUUCGUGGGUGAUAACGUAGGAACACUUCCGCUAAUACCGCAUACGUCCUACGGCAGGAAGCAGGGGAUCUUCGGGCCUUUGGCGUUUGAAUGAGACGAGGUCGGAUUAGCUAGUUGGCGUGGUAACGGCACACCAAGGCGACGAUGCGUAGCUGAGCUGAGAGGAUGAUCGGCCACACUGGAACUGAGACACGGUCCAGACUCCUACGGGAGGCAGCAGUAGGGAAUCUUGGGCAAUGGGCGAAAGCCUGAUGCAGCCACGCCGCGUGGGUGAAGAAGGCCUUCGGGUUGUAAAGCCCUUUUGUUAGGGAAGAAAAACUGUGUGUGUAUCCCUGCCCGUCUUGACGGUACCCAAAGAGUAAGCACCGGCUAACUUCGUG
rnacentral:rRNA from 1 species